GACGAACGCUGGCGGCGUGCUUAACACAUGCAAGUCGAACGAAAAGAGGGAAAGAGCUUGCUCUUUCCGGAAUUGAGUGGCAAACGGGUGAGUAACACGUAAACAACCUGCCUUCAGGAUGGGGACAACAGACGGAAACGACUGCUAAUACCGAAUAAGUUCCAAGAGCCGCAUGGCCCAUGGAAGAAAAGGUGGCCUCUACCUGUAAGCUAUCGCCUGAAGAGGGGUUUGCGUCUGAUUAGCUGGUUGGAGGGGUAACGGCCCACCAAGGAGACGAUCAGUAGCCGGGCGGAGAGGAUGAACGGCCAAACUGGAACUGAGACACGGUCCAGACUCCUACGGGAGGCAGCAGUGGGGAAUCUUCCGCAAUGGGCGAAAGCCUGACGGAGCAACGCCGCGUGAGUGAUGACGGCCUUCGGGUUGUAAAACUCUGUGAUCCGGGACGAAAAGGCAGAGUGCGAAGAACAAACUGCAUUGACGGUACCGGAAAAGCAAGCCACGGCUAACUACGUG
rnacentral:rRNA from 1 species